rnacentral:rRNA from 1 species
UACGAAGGGGGCUAGCGUUGUUCGGAAUUACUGGGCGUAAAGCGCGUGUAGGCUGCCCGGCAAGUCGGGCGUGAAAGCCCUGGGCUCAACCCAGGAACUGCACUCGAAACUCCCGGUCUAGAGUGGUGGAGAGGGAAGUGGAAUUCCUAGUGUAGAGGUGAAAUUCGUAGAUAUCAGGAGGAACACCAGUGGCGAAGGCGGCUUCCUGGACACCAACUGACGCUGAGACGCGAAAGCGUGGGGAGCAAACAGG